UGAGUAACCUGCCCUUCACUUUGGGAUAAACCCUCGGGAAAACGGGGGGCGUAAUACCGGAUAUGACAUUUCACCGCAUGGUGUGGGUGUGGAAAGUUUUUCGGUGGGGGAUGGGCUCGCGGCCUAUCAGCUUGUUGGUGGGGUGAUGGCCUACCAAGGCGACGACGGGUAGCCGGCCUGAGAGGGCGACCGGCCACACUGGGACUGAGACACGGCCCAGACUCCUACGGGAGCA
rnacentral:rRNA from 1 species